UACGGGAAUUUUCGACCAACGGCACCAGGAAGGUCACAGUGUCCGAGUGUUCAGUGUUGAUUGUGUCACAAGUAAUGUCCUACCGUCGCUCAAACUUCGGUUGCGGCCGUUAGGAUGAGUCGUCCGGGACGAGAUAGAGUUGGCCACCGUUGAUGAGGAGAGCAGAGGGAGAGGUUGGCAGAGGGUCCGGGGCGAAAGGGGUACAGGUUCGUAGUGGACGGUGCCUUCGAUGCGGCUGGAGAUCUCAACUUGUGCUUUGUUCUCUAUGUAUGUUGGUACACCGGAGACGACCGCAACGGCGACGAGGGUUCUGCGACAGGUCCAUGCUCGGGAGAGACACCCCACUGAUGAAGGAGCUGAUGCUCGGUUUUGGUGACGUCUCCAGUCUUUUUACCUACUAACGUUCUCGAGUAUUUAAUUUCCUCCUGUAGUUGUACAACAAACUCUCAACGUUCACGUGCCACCUUUCUUAUUGGAAUAACCUGUCACAGGUUGCAGAGCCUUAUCUGGUAGUGAAAUUCUUUGUCCAACUAUAGCGCAAUUCAGUUUAAUGGCUCCUACUUAAGUCAUCGAGAUCGGAGGUAGUGCAACGGGAGGCCAAACCGAACGAAGCUUUUGUACCAGAAACCCACAGACGUCUACAAAAGUUGUUUAAAUUCUUACUUCUACCCUCGAAAUCCUUUCUAUAAUGGUUACUGGGUUUCCCUGAAAAUACAGAUAUGUUGCGUCGGGUAGAAGAACAAGUACCACUCGGUAGUAACCUUCUUCGAUAGAGUAAAUGUUUCGUAGUAGAACUUAACUACUCCCUGUGAGAGUUCAGAGGAAAUCUGCUCGUUCAAUUUGCACGGGAAGCGCAUGGUAACGGUUCCUGUAACUUUUCCCACCUUUGUGAGGUAAUAUAGAGACUCAUGUACGUGCUCCUUGCUGUAUUGGGUUGAGAUAACCUCGAACGCUUCGACCUUAAAUUGGAAGAUGUUGUACAUGUGAACUUCCUUGAGUUUAUAGAGUGAUUCACCACCGCGCUAGACAUGUGCACACAGCCCGAUUUGAUACGAGCCCUGGCGGACCACCUCCCAAUGGAAACCACGAUACGCUAUAUGGUACUCUUUCUUAAACGCAAGAGUUCUUAUAAAGAAUGGUUCGUUAACUACGAAUAAAGGAACUACCUACUGUGUAUACUACGGGCACGGUGGUAACUCCUUACAGCUGUUGAUUUACGCUGGUAUGUUUCUACCCUACUCUCCCGGUGAAGAGAAGAUGGGCUGAUGGAAUUUUCCAAGAUAUGACUUGAUAACUCCUAUAAAUUUCUACGAUGCUCACUUCACCGUUAAACACUGUGAAUGGUACAACGGAUACGGGCUUUUCGCAAAGUUCUAGACAGACGAAUAAUAGAGGUUCUUCGACUUACCAAUGUGGUCUUAGUGUUCGGUUCGAAAUUUCUAGUGGACUCAAAUAGUCGGUACAGGUAUCCUAGUGGUUGCUAUACACAUCCAAACUACCAACCGUACCCUCUAGGUCAGUGUUCCCUUCGUAAACUCACCCGUCGACCAAUGGGUUUUCAGCGGUAUCGCACGCCCUUCUAUCGUGCAGAUUACCUACUGUAACGGCGUAAGUUUCCGCCCUUCCGGUUCCCCCUAUACCGUUCGAGAUAUCUCACAAUGUACCAACUCGUGUCACAGUGUUCACUCCAACGGUAAAGGUUCUAGGAUAGUGACGAUCUUCUGCUUACCUCUUGAGAUUUAGUUCGAGUGAAGCUUGUAGUGAGUGUGGAGGAUCACCACGUCGCCUAAUAAUUGAAACGAUUAUCGUACGAUCACAAGAUACGACCCUUUCUACGUAUAUGGAAGUCGUAUUUAGAAUUCCUCUGACAACUCUCGGAAAAACACUUUGGGUAAGGGUACAUCGGAGAUUAUCCAACACACCGUCAAAUAGAAGUCGUUUCUACGUCAUCGGAGAUUAUCCAACACACCGUCAAAUAGAAGUCGUUUCUACGUACGGUAGCACGUAGUAUUGAAUACUCAACCUCACACACGUGAUAUAUAGAAAAGAUGUAUGUCAUAUUCAAUUAUACCAUUUCUAUUCAUUAACAUGAGUCUUAACAACUUACUAUAGUGUAUGUCAACACACAGAGGUGCAACGGGAG
rnacentral:rRNA from 1 species